AGUGACCCCAAACCCUGCUCUGGUGUCCCCUGAGUGCCACCACCCCGGGUGACCCCAAACCUCACCCUGGUGACCCCAAAUCCUGCCCUGGUGUCCCUGGAGCGUCCCCAAUCCCGGGGAACCACAAAUCCUCAAAUGUCACCAAGCCCAGGUGACCCCAAACCCUUCUGUGGUGGCUCUGGAGUGUCCCCAAACCUCGUCCUGGUGUCCCUUCAGUGUCACCAAACCCAGGCGACCCCAAACUCCAUAACAGUCGGGAUCGGGGUCCUGGAAUUCCCUGGGAUUUGCCCCAUUUGGGGUCCCAUUCCCAACCCCAAAAACCCCCAGUGAUCCCAUGGGAUUCCCCUGUUCCCAGCUGGAAUUCCCAUGGAAACCCCAAUCCAGAGUGGGAAAUCCUCGCUCCAGGGGGAAUUCCCAAAUAUUCCCAAAUAUCCCAAAGGGGAUUCCUGAAAUUCCCAAGAAAUCCCAGGAGAUUCUGGGAAAUCCACCCCGAAGGAAUUCCCAAGGAUUUGGAGGGGCUGGAGAGGGAAAUCUGGGAUUGGGAAAAAUGGGAAUGCCAGGAUCCAAAAUCCCAGUUUGGGAUUGUGAAGAAUGGGAAAUCUGGGAUCCCAAAUCCCAGUUUGGGACUGGGAAAAAUGGGAAUUCUGGGAUCCCAAAUCCCAGUUUGGGACUGGGAAAAAUGGGAAUGCCGAGAUCCCAAAUAUCCAUGUUUUUCCCAGAAAAAUUCCAGGACCCCCAAAUCCCAAAAAUCCUUUUUUUUUUUUUUUUUUUUUUUUCCGUGGGGUUUUGGCCCUUGGAAAAGGGGGAAGAGCUCAGAAUUCCCAUUGGGAUUUGGGAUCAGCCUUUUUCCAGGAGGGAAUUUGGGAUCCUGGAUGGGAUUUUUCCCAAUUUUUUCUACCUUUGGAGCUUCCUGAUCCCAAAAAUCCCAGGAAUCCCUCUGGAAUCAGAUCCCCCCCUCCUCCAGCUGGGAUUUUUCCCAGGAAGAACCUCUGGGAAAAGGGAAAAGCUCUUCCCAAAUUCCCAUUUUUCCAUGGAUUUUUUUANNNNN
rnacentral:lncRNA from 1 species